rnacentral:rRNA from 1 species
AUCAACGCUGGCGGCGUGCCUAACACAUGCAAGUCGCACGAGAAAGGGACUUCGGUCCUGAGUACAGUGGCGCACGGGUGAGUAACACGUGAAUCAUCUACCUUCGAGUGGGGAAUAACUGGGAGAAAUCUCAGCUAAUACCGCAUAAUACCUACGGGUCAAAGCAGCAAUGUGCUUGAAGAGGAGUUCGCGGCAGAUUAGUUAGUUGGCGGGGUAAUGGCCCACCAAGACGAUGAUCUGUAUCCGGCCUGAGAGGGCGCACGGACACACUGGAACUGAAACACGGUCCAGACUCCUACGGGAGGCAGCAGUGGGGAAUUUUGCGCAAUGGGGGAAACCCUGACGCAGCAACGCCGCGUGGAGGAUGAAAUCCCUUGGGAUGUAAACUCCUUUCGAUUGGGAAGAUUAUGACGGUACCAAUAGAAGAAGCCCCGGCUAACUUCGU